rnacentral:rRNA from 1 species
AACAUGUCUUCUUGGUUGAAAUGAGAAGUCUGACCUGCCCAGUGAUAAAUGAUUUAACGGCCGCGGUAUCUUGACCGUGCAAAGGUAGCAUAAUCAUUAGUCUUUUAAUAGGGGACUGGUAUGAAGGGUUCGACGAAAUGCUAGCUGUCUCAAUUUAAUAUAUUAUAACUUGAUUUUUGAGUCAAAAAGCUUAAAUGUUGUUGAAGGACGAGAAGACCCUAUAGAGCUUUAUAAUUAAUUUUACUAGUAUUUUUAUUUUAUUUUUUUACUAUUAUUAUUAAUUUUUUUGUUGGGGUGACAACAAAUAUAUAGAUAACUUUUUUAUUUAAAAAACAUUAAUUUAUGAAUAAUAGAUCCAGUUUUACUGAUUAUUAGAAUUAGUUACCUUAGGGAUAACAGCGUAAUCUUCCUUCAGAGUUCAUAUUUACAGGGAGGGUUGCGACCUCGAUGUUGGAUUAAGAUUAUGAUUAGGUGUAGCAGCUUAAUUCAUAGGUCUGUUCGACCUUUAAAUUCUUACAUG